AUUAAAAUUGUAAUUCGUUUAUUUAUUAUAAUACAAAGUUAUUAGAAUAAGCAAAUCAUGUUUAUACAUUGACAUAAUCAGCAGUUAGUAGGAUGGUGGCAAAAAGAUUUUAUUCUAAAGUUUGGUAAAGUGUUAGAACAUUUGUCUUAAGACAAUAACAUUGAAACAAACUCAAACACUAUUUCCCCCGAGUUGUUACAGCAAAGAUAUAGGCCU